rnacentral:rRNA from 1 species
GACGAACGCUGGCGGCGUGCUUAACACAUGCAAGUCGAACGGAAAGGCCCUGCUUUUGUGGGGUGCUCGAUUGGCGAACGGGUGAGUAACACGUGAGUAACCUGCCCUUGACUUUGGGAUAACUUCAGGAAACUGGGGCUAAUACCGGAUAGGAGCUCCUGCUGCAUGGUGGGGGUUGGAAAGUUUCGGCGGUUGGGGAUGGACUCGCGGCUUAUCAGCUUGUUGGUGGGGUAGUGGCUUACCAAGGGUUUGACGGGUAGCCGGCCUGAGAGGGUGACCGGCGACAUGGGGACUGAGAGACGGCCCAGAAGCCUACGGGAGGCAGCAGUGGGGAAUAUUGCGCAGUGGGCGGAAGCCUGAGGCAGCAACGCCGCGUGCGGGAUGACGGCCUACGGGUUGUAAACCGCUGUCGCCGGUGACGAAGCGUGAGUGACGGUAAUGGGUAAGGAAGCACCGGCUAACUACGUG